rnacentral:rRNA from 1 species
CAACUCCCUGAGUGGUGGGGAUGAUUAUUGGGCUUAAAGCGUCCGUAGCUGGCUUGAGUAGUCUUCCGUUAAAUCCGACGACCUAAUUGUUGGGCUGCGGGAGAUACUGUUGAGCUAGGGGGCGGGAGAAGUCGACGGUACUCUUGGGGUAGGGGUGAAAUCUUAUAAUCCCGGGGGGACCACCAGUGGCGAAGGCUGUCGGCUAGAACGCGCCCGACGGUGAGGGACGAAAGCUGGGGGAGCGAUCCGGAUUAGAUACCCGAGUAGUCC